rnacentral:lncRNA from 9 species
UUAUUUUGAAGAAGAGGGUCAGACAGUCUGUCCCUAGUUGAAUGCUACUGUCAUCAGAGUGAAGGAAGCCAGUUUCAGUGGCUGCAGUGUGCCUCAUUCGGCAGCUGGUUGCUUAGGAGCAAAAUGAUUAUCGUCUGGGAGCAGCAGUGUUCAACUGUGAAUUUUGUAGGCUAUCUCCAAAAUACCCCUUGCCCUGUGAAGAUGCUGACAGAGAUAACAGUGGAGCUCCAAUAUGGUAAAGGAUGGUUAUCUUGGAGAAGAUAUUUGAUGUUGGUGUUGAAGAAAGUUCAGCAAUGGCUUGGCUAUGAAAUGAGAUGA